rnacentral:rRNA from 1 species
GGAUUAGUGCGCCGGUCGUGCCUUCGGUAUGUACUGGUGUUACUGGUUCCUACCUUCUGACGAACCGUCAUGUCAUUAAUUUGGUGUGGCGGGGAAUCAGGACUGUUACUUUGAAAAAAUUAGAGUGUUUAAAGCAGGCGAUCGCUUGAAUACAUUAGCAUGGAAUAAUGAAAUAGGACGUUCGAUCCUAUUUUGUUGGUUUCUAGGAUUGACGUA